UUUUUUUUUUUGCUAUACUCUGCUGUAAACGACAGUGAGCAUAUCCAUGCAGCAAUCAAAUUAAACUAUUAACUUUUUUAGACAGAUUCAGAAACUUUGGUUUACAAAUAGAAGCUGCGGGAGGCCAUGAACACUCAGAAGAACGCACAGAGGGCAGCUAUGAGAGCUCACUUCAGGAGAAAAUAUCGACUCUCACAGAGCCCUGAGGACACAAACCACCUGAGGUCUGUUGGCGGCAAAGUAUCGCUCCCCCCUGAGCUGUCGAAGAUGAUUCAUCCUGAAACCAGAACCAAGGACGACAGCUUCAACCUGCUUAGCGCCUUCCAAGGCCUCGGCAUCAGCGGGGCGGUGUUUACUGGAGGGAAACCCAGCAGGACGUCAACGCCAACUCACGGAGACUCUUGUAGGGUCAUGUAAUCAGCGUUGUGUAGAUUAACAGAAAAAGGUGGAGUGUGUGAUGGUGUAAAUUAUGAUUUUUUUUAAUGAAAUUAGAGGCGUAAUUUAAUCUCAGCUGCUGACAAAAUGACCGAAUGUGACUGUGUUGGUUAGAAAAUAUACAUAUUAAACACAAUUCAAUAAAAGAAUAUUCAGUAGCAGAAUAACUUUAAUACCAAAACUGCAAAUAAAUGGAAAUAAUGGAAA